UUACGGUCAAAUCACGCUGAAACACUGGUUCUCGUACGAUCACCGAAGUUAAGCAUCGUAGAGCCAGGUCAGUACUUAGUUGGGGACCGCUUGGGAACACCUGGUACUGUAAG